rnacentral:rRNA from 1 species
CGUGUAGGCGGGGACAUAAGUCAGAUGUGAAAUACCGAGGCUUAACUUCGGGGCUGCAUCUGAAACUAUGUUUCUUGAGUGUCGGAGAGGAAAGUGGAAUUCCCAGUGUAGCGGUGAAAUGCGUAGAUAUUGGGAGGAACACCAGUGGCGAAGGCGACUUUCUGGACGAUAACUGACGCUGAGGCGCGAAAGCGUGGGGAGCAAACAGGAUUAGAUACCCUGGUAGUCCACGCUGUAAACGAUGGAUACUAGGUGUAGGAGGUAUCGACCCCUUCUGUGCCGGAGUUAACACAAAUAAGUAUCCCACCUGGGGAGUACGGCCGCAAGGUUGAA